AGUGAACGCUGGCGGUAGGCCUAAUACAUGCAAGUCGAACGGACGCACAGUAAGAGCUUGCUUUUACCGUUAGCGAGUGGCGGGUGGGUGAGGCGUACAUCAGCAUCUUCUAUUUCGUGGAGGACUCCGUAGGAAAACUUACGAUACUACCUCAUACGACCUACGGCUGAAAGCAGAAGAUCUUCGGACUUUGCCUGACUCUAUGAGAUGGACCCGGGUCGGAUUAGCUAGUUGGUAAGGUAACGGCCAACCAAGGCAACGAUACGUAGCCGACCUGAGAGGAUGAUCAGCCACACUGGAACUGAGACACGGUCCAGACUCCUACGGGAGGCAGCAGUGGGGAAUAUUGGGCAAUGGGCGCAAGCCUGAUGCAGCAACGCCGCGUGAGUGAAGAAGGUCUUCGGGUCGUAAAACCCUUUUGUUGGGAAAGAAAAACUGCAUAUGAAAACCCCGCUGUUCUGACGGUACCUAAUGAGAAAGCAACGGCUAACUUCGUG
rnacentral:rRNA from 1 species